rnacentral:lncRNA from 1 species
GGAUUUGAGUCCUACAGGCUCAGCACUUAUGAAAAAGGAUAAAGUCCUUCCCAGCCUGGCAGGAGAAGGAAAAGCCUGUGGUGGGGGAAGGGAGUGAAGGCGUGUGCCUCCUCAUGGAACACAGGGUCGGAGUCGGCUAGGAGGGAUAAGAGUACAAUAGAGGGUUGUGUGACACAGACAGGCUGCCAGCCCUCAGCAUGGACCCGGCACAUGGAAUCUGUGAUCUUAAAAGAGUCAAGUGACUACCUUUGGCAACCAAAAGAGACACUGCCUUUUAGAAGGCAUAUCAUCUGAAACUGGCUGAAAGAGCUGUCUUACUUAGGAAGAAAAAUCUCUCCUUUGGAAAGAGCUGGAACUUUUAGUAAAACUGAACAGUGAGGUGGCGGAAGAUAAAUAUGCUGAGGCAUGUUUUCAAGGAGGGGAGAGAGAUUCCUUUUCCUCAGCCGGGCACAGAGCCAACCUGAAGUGUAGCACUGUGGUGACCUGGCGGGAUCUGCUCUCCAGUCACUCCCGAGGGCCCUUCUGGGGACAAGGAGACUUUUCUGUGCGGCCUGUUGAUUUGAGAUCGAGGCUAUCAAGCUACAGAUGAUCUUACAAAUGGAACCCCAAAUGAGCUCAACUAACAACUACCAAGGACCCCUGGACCAACCCGCUGGCCCUUUCAAUGGCCUAAAGAGUUCCCCUCUGGAGGACACUACAACUGCAGGGUCCUUUCUUUGC